rnacentral:rRNA from 1 species
UACGGGGGGGGCAAGCGUUGUUCGGAAUUACUGGGCGUAAAGGGCUCGUAGGCGGCCAACUAAGUCAGACGUGAAAUCCCUCGGCUUAACCGGGGAACUGCGUCUGAUACUGGUUGGCUUGAAUCCGGGAGAGGGAUGUGGAAUUCCAGGUGUAGCGGUGAAAUGCGUAGAUAUCUGGAGGAACACCGGUGGCGAAGGCGGCAUCCUGGACCGGUAUUGACGCUGAGGCGCGAAAGCUAGGGGAGCAAACGGG